rnacentral:rRNA from 1 species
UACGAAGGGGGCGAGCGUUGUUCGGAAUUACUGGGCGUAAGGGGCGCGCAGGCGGCUCUGAAAGUCAGAUGUGAAAUCCCCGGGCUUAACCUGGGAACUGCAUUUGUGACUGCACGGCUAGAGUGCGGCAGAGGGGGAUGGAAUUCCGCGUGUAGCAGUGAAAUGCGUAGAUAUGCGGAGGAACACCGAUGGCGAAGGCAAUCCCCUGGGCCUGCACUGACGCUCAUGCACGAAAGCGUGGGGAGCAAACAGG